CCUAACGGGUGGCAGCAGUGGGGAAUAUUGGGCAAUGGGCGCAAGCCUGACCCAGCAACGCCGCGUGAAGGAAGAAGGCUUUCGGGUUGUAAACUUCUUUUCUCAGGGACGAAGCAAGUGACGGUACCUGAGGACUAAGCCACGGCUAACUACGUGCCAGCAGCCGUGGUAAUACGUAGGUGGCAAGCGUUAUCCGGAUUUACUGGGUGUAAAGGGCGUGUAGGUGGGACUGCAAGUCAGAUGUGAAAACCACGGGCUCAACCUGUGGCCUGCAUUUGAAACUGUAGUUCUUGAGUACUGGAGAGGCAGACGGAAUUCCUAGUGUAGCGGUGAAAUGCGUAGAUAGUAGGAGGAACACCAGUGGCGAAGGCGGUCUGCUGGACAGCAACUGACGCUGAGGCGCGAAAGCGUGGGGAGCAAACAGGAUUAGAUACCCCAGUAGUC
rnacentral:rRNA from 1 species